rnacentral:lncRNA from 1 species
ACAGAUGUUUAAUUGGAGGCGAUUUAGUGAAGCGGGGGAUUUAGUUCGUUAGUGGCGGCCAGGUUUGUUGAGAGAGGAAGGAGAUGAUGACAAUGAGAGAGAAAGUAGAGAGAUGAAGACAUUUUCUUUUUUCUUCUCUGGAUUUUCAGCAGAGAAUAUAUUUUUUCUUCGUAUCGGUGGAGUUCCUUUUUUAAUUUUAUUUUUUUCUCCUUUUCUUUAUCGCCAGCUGUCCCCUCUUGUCCGUUGGAAGAGAGAAUCUU